rnacentral:rRNA from 1 species
UGCCAGCCGCCGCGGUAAUACCGGCAGCCCGAGUGAUGGCCGAUCUUAUUGGGCCUAAAGCGUCCGUAGCUGGCCGCGCAAGUCCAUCGGAAAAUCCACCCGCCCAACGGGUGGGCGUCCGGUGAAACCCGCAAGGCUUGGGACCGGAAGACCCGACGGGUACGUCCAGGGUAGGAGUGAAAUCCCAUAAUCCCGCACGGACCACCGAUGGCGAAAGCACUUCGAGAAAACGGAUCCGACAGUGAGGGACGAAAGCCAGGGUCUCCAACCGGAUUAGAAACCCGUGUAGUCC